ensembl:lncRNA novel transcript
AGCCCUGUUCCUGCUCCGGCUCCUGCGGGGAUGGAUGCUUCACGCAGUAAGCGACCUAAGUCGCGGAAGCGUAGACACCCGGCUUUUCCCGCGUGCUCUAUCGGGCUCCCCUGGACACGGAGGGUGGAGCAGAAAGAGCAGAGGGGCCGGUGGGAGCCAUGGGGAGUCCGCCUAGCUCCAGAGGACACCUUACCUGGAUCCGCCUUUGUAGCCUCCUCCUGGCUCUGGGGGCUGUCCUGUGGGGUCCGAGUAGCUGAAAGACAGCCCCUCCAUGUGAGGAAGCCCCCAACUGGGGAAAACCCCCUCGUGGACUCAUUCCUGUCCCUGCAUGUGGCCUUCACCUGACUGUCUGCAUUGAGGCAUCCUCUGCCAAGAGCAAUUUCAAAGUGGCAGAAGCUGACAAGUACCUGCCGGAAAAACUGCCUCUUUUCCCUCCCGUGCUUGGAGCAGGCAUUGCUGACAGAUCACAGCUGCUGGGCCCAAAGGUCCCUUUGCACGCGGGACUUCAGGAAGUUGCUGCUGACCUAUGGGAGUUGGUGCAGAAAGAUGAAAUUUGUUAUCCUUGGCUGUAUCAACUCUCUCUCCUCUCCUUGGUGGUGAUAGUUUUGUUCUUAAAAGCCUCUUGUGAGAGAAUUUGUGGAUGAAGAACCUGUAAGAUCACAAGUGAAACAAUUUAUUGAUGUCAAUAGAUUUAUACACGUUCAUUAAGAAUCAAAACUAAACUAAAACAUCAGUCUGACUAAAGAGACCACCACAGAUAUUUCAUAUGCUGUACAUCAGUAACAAAGGGUACCAAAUAGUUAAUAUCCAUGUACUAGUCACAUGAGAAAUGUUUUAGGGUCAUUGACCAGUGUAGUCAGUACAGUGGUCCCAUGGUAUUUGUGGGGGAUUGGUUCCAGGAAUCUCUUGGACACCAACUCCGUGGAUGAUCAGACAAUAUAAAAUGUGGGUCAGGUGCGGUGGCUCAUACCUGUAAUCCCAGCAUUUUGCGAGAAUCACUUGAGGCCAGUUCAAGAUCAGCCUGUGCAACAUAGCAAGACUCCACCUCUAAAAAAAAAAAAAAAAAAAAAAA